GGUUCCAUGGUGUAAUGGCUAGCACUUCGGAUUUUGAUUAAGAUCCUUCCUAAUUAAUUUCUUCCGGUGAUCUGGGUUCGAUUCCCAGUGGAACCU